GUGCUCUGCCUGGGCCAGACCAUUCACACACAGGAGGGGGUCCUGCCCAAACCCUCCAUCAGGGCCAAGCUGGGUCCUGUGAUCCACUGGGAACAGCCUGUG